UAUGUGUUUCUGCUGUCUUUACAAGCUUCUCCGGUUCUCCAUCACCGGGGAGAUUUUAUCUGCCUGAAUAUGUGUGAGUCAGCAAGUCCUCGGGUCCUGGUUGGAUGGCACAGUGGGUGCGCCUCACACAGCCUCAGAGCCUGCUUUGUCUCCCGUUUCCAUUUGCUCACUCCCAUGUGGACUCGGCCAGUGGCAUCCUGAGUUUCCACUAAUAACAGAGGCUGAGAAGCCGCAUAUUAGAGGCAGUGCUGGACUCUGCGAUUGCCCGGAGGUGGGCCCCGGGGACUCUGCCCCGCUGGGCCUCGUCUCCUCCUGUGCCCCCCACCCGCUGACAGGAGGGAACAGGAGACGCCCACAGGGAGGGAAGCCGAGUGAAAUGUGAAGAGGUGUCUGAAAGCCCAGAGGAAACCGGCAGGCCCUUCCAGAAGUUCUAUUUGCGGGAUUGUUUUGCCAGGCUGCUAUCGCAUACCACCUCUGUCUGCUGCCUCAAUUUGCUUGGUGAAAAUUGUCUGAAUGAUGGAGCAGGAGUUCCAGAUGACCCCCCUCACCCCCACUGGCACAAGAUCUCUAAGAGCAUUGAAAGAAAUAUGAUUUACAAGAAAAUAAAUUGGAAGUGAAGCCUAGCACUCACUUGCUUUUGACUCUGGAUAAGCUUUAUGUACCUAUGAACCUCAGCUUUCAUCUCUGUAUAGUUGGAUUAAUAAUACUGCAGUGCAUACAGUUAGGCUGAACUGUAAGUAACAGUACUGAACUCAUCAGCUUAAAGCACUCAUGUGAAAGACUCACGAGGCACCCAGCCCAGGCUAGUAAAAGAUCCAGCCAGGUUUCUGGCCCUGGCUUCUAUUCCAAAGGUCACCUCAUGAUCAAAGGUGGCUGCCAGAGCUCUUGCCAUUAUGU